CUUCCGCAAAACUCCUGGGACAACAACAGCAACGGCCAACAACCGGACCUCCUCGCCACCGCCCCCCAACUCACCCCCGACGACGCCCACUCCCUCCUCUCCUCCUUCACCCACGACCAGCUCCUCUCCAUCGUCCAAUCUACCGCCCUCUGCUACCCCGGCGUCCUCUCCGCCUUCCGCACGAACGGGCAUCCGAGACCAAAUCGCGUAUCUCCUCUGCUCUCUCUCUCUCUCUCUCUCUCUCUCUCUCUGUUUUUGCUUUGUUAGACUCAUUCGAGAUUCUGUUCUCUUCUCAUUCUCUUCAGAUCGAAUCGAAGAACUCAACGAUGUUCAGAUUGAAUCGAAGAAUUCAACGACCUGUGUCUCGACUCGAGAUUCUGAUGAUUGUUGAUUUUACCGAUUUCUCUUCCAUUCAACGAUGUUCGGCUUCCAAAUAAAUCAAUUUUUAGGGCUUAUUUCUUGACAAUGAUGAAGAAAGUGAAGAGAGCGAUUUCUACUAAUUUUGGUUCCAGCUUGCCGAUUUUGAAAUCUCACUUAAAGCUUGUGGUAAGUUUUCUUGUUAGAAACUGCACUUGAAGAAAUACAGAUAUUGGAUUCUUCUCUUCGACUAAGAAACUGAUGCUUUGGUGAGUUCUCAAAUAAACUUUGUGCAGCUUCCUCUUUUGAUUAUUAGGACAAAGAAACCCCAAACUUGAGAUAUUUCUUAAUUUCCUGUGAAACUUUGAUGGUCCUGAAUGUUUGGAUGCAUGAAUCAAUAGGUUACUUGACUUUACUAUAUAUUCUGCUGAUUGCGUGGUUAAUCCUGAUUACAUGAAUAACCAAAAGUUUUUAACUAUAAGAAAUGGAUUAGUGUAGCCUUUAUUUGAUGAGCAUAAAUUCUACUUCAAUCCAAUGCACACAAAGGCAAAUAAGAGGCCCCACAUGGAUGUAUGGUAAUUGGAACCCUGAUGGUGGCAUUUCACGUUUGGGUGUACCUCCUUUUGUCCAUGAAUGUGUAUCCGCACUUAUAUAUUUUCAAGUCUUUGGCUACAUUCUGUUUCGUGUGCCUCCUUUUGUCCAUGAAUAUCUGCUUUGGUUUCUAAUUGCUUUCUUUCCAUCUUUCUUUCUUCUUCUUCGUUUUGUCGCUCUCUCUUCGUGUUUAUGUUUAAGUUAAAGAUUGAUCUGUUUUUUUUCAUUAAGCACAAUUAUUUCCUCAAAUGGAAUCUCUAUAGAGGACAUUUCAUGCAGCUUAUGUUAUGUGUAGCUAAAUUUGAUGAAUGGGGUCAUUUAUCUGGAUAGUUGGCUUUUUGUUGUGUUGUAUUAGAUCGAGAAAGCAUUGAGAGGUGUGAAAGUUGAAGUUACACACUGUGGGAAUAUUCAUAGGAAAUACCGGAUAUCUGGGUUAACCUCACAAGCAACUUUCGAGCUAACUUAAGUUUCAAUGUUUAGUUGGUAUUUAAGAGUAAUGGUUACGGAAGUUUGAGGUUUUUUUUUUUGAACCGUGCAUUUGCUUUUUGGCCCACAGGAAAAUAUUUGAUGAUCUUUUGAGACAUUGAAUUAAGUUAUUUUGUUUAUUACUAGCAUUUGUAUUGCAGUAGAACUUGUUUUGGUGUAUUUUAUUGAAUAUCAUAAAAAUGGUGUUGCUGUAUAAGUUGGUUGCUAGCAUGCUAUAGACUACUUGAUAAAUGCCCUUUUUGCACAGAGUUCUUGGUAAAUGUAGUAUUGUGGCAUUCAUAUCCUGUCCGGUGUAAUAUAUUUUAGGUAUUUAUUUCGAUAUUGAGUUAUAAUUUUUUCAAACAGAGGUUGUAGUAUAACGGUUUAUGUUUUCUCCUUUUUCCCU